CUGUGUCACCACCCAAAUGUCAUCUCAAAUUUCAAUCCUUGUAAUCCCCACCUGUAGAGCACGGGAUCUGGUGAGAGAUGAUUGGAUCCUGAGUGUGUUUUCCCUCAGGCUGUUCUCGCGGUAGUGAGUUCCCACGAGAUCUGAUGGUUUUGUAAAGCAGUUUCCGCAGCUUUUGCAAGCUCUCACCUGCCUCCACAUAAGAUGUGCUUCUUCCACUGCUGCCAUGAUUGUGGAGUUUCCAGAGGCCUCCAAAACUCUUUGCUAUUCAGAGUGUCAUACGAGGAUCAGGACUAGCAUCACCUGGGAGCACGCUGGAACUACAGAAGCUCACAUCUCACCCCAGACCUCCUGAUUCAUAAUCUGAAUUUUUUUUUCUAUUCCAGGAGAAUAGGAGGAGAAAAUAAGGCAAAAAUCAACAGCAGCCAAAUCUGGACCAUCUAGUGACUUAUGCUCAUUGAUUAGGACUGCAUCACCUGGGUACAUUAAAUUUCAAGAAAUUCUGAGAGUGAUCGUGUUUCUGCUACUGAAUGAGUUUCCGGCUCUGUUUUAAAUCAGCUACCGAAGGACACUAUAGUCUUCAUAGAGCAUUCCCGUGAGAAUGGUGAGAGGGUUUCUCGACU